CAGUAGGGAAUCUUCCGCAAUGGACGAAAGUCUGACGGAGCAACGCCGCGUGAGUGAUGAAGGCUUUCGGGUCGUAAAACUCUGUUGUUAGGGAAGAACAAGUGCUAGUUGAAUAAGCUGGCACCUUGACGGUACCUAACCAGAAAGCCACGGCUAACUACGUGCCAGCAGCCGCGGUAAUACGUAGGUGGCAAGCGUUAUCCGGAAUUAUUGGGCGUAAAGCGCGCGCAGGUGGUUUCUUAAGUCUGAUGUGAAAGCCCACGGCUCAACCGUGGAGGGUCAUUGGAAACUGGGAGACUUGAGUGCAGAAGAGGAAAGUGGAAUUCCAUGUGUAGCGGUGAAAUGCGUAGAGAUAUGGAGGAACACCAGUGGCGAAGGCGACUUUCUGGUCUGUAACUGACACUGAGGCGCGAAAGCGUGGGGAGCAAACAGGAUUAGAUACCCUGGUAGUCCACGCCGUAAACGAUGAGUGCUAAGUGUUAGAGGGUUUCCGCCCUUUAGUGCUGAAGUUAACGCA
rnacentral:rRNA from 1 species